UUGCAAGUCCUGGAGACUGAAAUUUCUUUCUGUCCACAGAACAGGUACAGCACAGGCAACAGGAGUGAGAGCUUCCUCACCCUGUGCCACCUGUGUGCCUCCUCAACCAUGAUCUAGACAACUUCUAGAGAAGGGAGGUUACAGCAAUUUAGUUUCCAUGGCUCAGAUCCACAAAAGGACUUAG
rnacentral:sRNA from 1 species